AUGAACUCAGAAAAAGACUUCACACUAAUCACGCCCAACAUCAUCUGAGUCCUCAUUGACAAGCUGUACGAAAGGAAGAAGGGAGCAGAACUGGACAUCUAAAAGGUCGUCUGGGAGUUCCUAGCCCAGAACACAGGGCAGAUCACCUCUGCCCCAGGAGUUUGCCCUGUCUUAGCAUCCCCAUAGCUAGAAGGGGCCCAUUGGUUUGAUCACCAGCUCUAUGCCACUGAACAGAAACUCAGGGUUCUACAUGAAGAAGUCGAUUGAUCUGAUGCUGACCUGCUUCAAUGACGUAGACAGUGGAAUGCACUACUAAACUGGAGCUUAGUACAUAUAUAACUCCAUCAAGGUCGUCCCAGGCACCGUGCUGCCACACUCAGCAUUCUCUCUGAUGGGCUAAAUUGGCUGCUAAUCACACACAAUAUGAAAAGCAAAUCCGAGCUCCUACACUUCCGUUUUUAAAGCACGUUGUGAUUGAGAAAAACAAGUUUGACAUAGUAGGCUCCAAUCUUCUGUUGCCGGAGAGGAUUUGGUCCAACAACCAGUAGGCCUGUCAGUUCAUCAUCACUUGGAUGCUGGUUCUGGAGCCUGUACCAGAUUUUAACCUGCUGGAUUACCUACCAGAGAUACUAGAUGAACUCUUCCAAAUUCUGGGAAAUGAAGACAAAGAGAUUCCAAAACUGUGUGAGGUGGUGUUUGGAGAAUUCUUGAAAGAAAUCAGAAAGAACCUCGUGUUAAGAUGAGAUGAUCAGCAUCCUGGUGAUGCACUGCCAGAUCGCAGGCAAUCUGAUCCAGCUGACAGCCAUUGCUAAAUGCAAGAGUUCAUUUGACAUUGGCAGUACCAUGCUGCCCCACUCUUCUGGCAUCCUGACUGCAAUCUUGCCUGUUUGUCCUGCAAUGAGCUCAAGAAAAUCAUCAAGGAGUGGCUAAUGUGUGCCACCAGAACUUGAUGAAGCUAGUCACUGCCAAACAGGAUGGAGCUGGACAAGUCAAAGCGUUGCAGAGGCAGGCAGAACCCAACCCUGCUAAUUCCCUAGCAAAACAGGAAGACACAGACAGUGGUGGUCCACACGAUUCUUACGACCCUAGUUUCAGUAAAGGCAUCUGUGUCUUCACUCCAGCCAGCACUGAAAGGGUCCCAGUGACACAGUGACUUCAUCCCUUCACCACCACAGGGUUGGGCAAGUUCUGAAUAUCGCCUCUGUGACAUGGCCAUUGAGAUAAUGAUCAAGAUUGCCAUUCUGAACUAGCUCUAUUAUUUCUACAUCAAGACUUCCUGGAAUAUGCUCCAGUACAUCGCAGCCUCUUCUCCACUCUG
rnacentral:lncRNA from 1 species